GUUUCCCUAUAAUGCAGUGGUUUUGGUGCGUAGAUGCUUGUAAUAUUUGCAUAUGUAAUUUCCAACCAAUCACAUUUAUUUUCACCUCACUGCUGUAUUUAAUAAACCGUCACCCGGUUAGCUACAACUGGCAUCCUAGCAUUACUGGUACACACGCUUCAUUAACACGACAACAAAAAUAUUACAUGGUGUCAGAAAGAAACGUAUCUCUUCUAUCGACAUGGAUGCAGCUGGAGUUCCUCCGCCCAUGAUGAACUGGGAAGCAAGUAACUUGCCUGACACAUGGCGGACGUUCACACGCAAAUUC